AGGUUGGCCUUAAACUUGAAAUCCUCCUGCCUCAGCCUCCCAAGCUGAUGGGAUUACAAAGCAACAAAGACAAGAAGAAGAAAAGCCCUUCUGAGUAGGAAAUUCACCAGGAUUUCAAUGAUGUGGGAAUAUAAAAUUGCACUUGGGUAUGUGAUGAAAAAAGAUGAGACUGGAAGUAUUUAGGUUCCCUCAAACAUUAACCUGCAAUGAGAUCAUCUGGGCUCUUGCUGAAAUGUAGACUGAUUACUCAAGUGUGAAAUGAGACCUGAAAUGCCGCAUUUCUGGGAAGGCCUCAGUGCUGCUGGUGCUGUUAGACCUCACUGAGUAAGCACAUCCAGAGCAGGGAGUGGAAAUUUCCCAGGUCUGAGGAACAGGUGCACCAAGCAGAGCCCUGAUAGUGGGAUGUGCUAGAGAGCUUCCCACUGUGAGAGGAUGUUGCCAAAUGGGGGUGGGGGGAGGG
rnacentral:lncRNA from 1 species